AGGAAACUGCCAAACUGUCUUUCAAAGCGUCUACGCCGGUUUCCUCUCCCAGCAGCCACCAGCCGCGAAUGAGCUGAGCGGUCCUGCUAUUUGGUCCUGCUACUCGGUAGCUCUUGCUGUCACUAGGGUUCUGAGUUUCGGCCCUCCUAAUAGACACACAGUGGCAUCUCAUUGUUUUUCAUUUGCAUUUCCCAGAUGAGUAUGAUGUGGAACAUCUUUUGUGUACUUAUUUGCAUCUGAAUGUCUCUUCUCUGGUGAGUUCCUCCAGUCUUAGGCCUAUUUUUCGAGCAGUUCUUUGCUUUCAGACUUCCUAUUUAUUUCUCUCUUUUUUUCUUUCCCUUGUGGGUGUGAGAUUGACCUCAGGGCCUCCUGCAUAUCAAGUAUCUGGAUCCUCUAAUCUUCGGAUAAUUAUUAUGAAAAUUAAUUCAAGGUUGACAUCCAGUUAUGCCAGCACCAUUUGCUAAAGAUGCUUUCCUUCGGG